UGUUCACAAUGUGUUUUGCCUACAUUGUCAUAGCCUUUCAAAGUGCACAAGAUGACUCCCAUCAUGGCCAUGGAAAGUCAGGAUACUCAUCAGGAAAAAUAGCCAACACAGACAUUUUGAAGAUAAACCAUUAAGAAUAAUCCAUGAACAACUCCCAUAAAAAAUGUUAGCUGCUUAGGAGAUAGAGAUUUAGCUUUUAAUGCUGAUCUUUUCUCCCUGCAGAAUAUUGCUCCCACCUUAUCAAUAUUUUACAAAAGAAAGAGAAACCUUCUACAGCUGCAGAGUCAAUUUGGAGGGAUUAAAAAUUUAUCCUGUUUUGAGCAAAGCUUUCAGCAGGUGCUCGAAUCCACUUAAUCACAGGAAAAAAAUAGAGUGCUACGUGAUGUUACCUUUCAUGAAAGGGAUUUCCAGCAAAGAUGGUAGAAUAUUUUCUUAACCCAUGAAAAUUGCCAACUGCAGAAACACUUCACAUCUAUGUGACCUGCAGAUCCAGGGCAUUUAAAUGCGCGUCCCCCUAAGGACACUCAGCUCCCUGCCACUUUGGACAGUGUCCCAGCAGUGGAGCGGUCACAUGAAUCUUGGAGUACAUCAGCAUCUUUCUCAUUGAAAAGUAAUCGGGAAUCCCGAAAUGGCUCAUUACAUCCCUGCUGCCAUCAGCACCUUCCAUGAUAGGUGGUGUUUGCUAUGAUGAGAGAAUCACUGCAAAGAUUACAGACCAUGAACUUCAACUAUAAAAUAAGCUUCAGUUCAGAGAUUCUGGUGGCUUCUAGCAAUGACCAUGCUGCACACAGGGCUGUCCUUCCCCCACAUACUUAAGUGUGCAGCCUGAAUGUACAGCCACUGGUAGGUACAAGCAGGGGUUAAGCCUCAGGUACAAGUUCAAGGACACACCCGUGUGGCAGUGGUGAGCACUCUGACUUAGCGAUGAUCUUCAGUCUCUCAAAGUCACAGUCCUUGAGAAUUUCCUGACCACGUAAAUAAAGUUGUUGGUUUCCAUUGGCUGUUAAUGAGUCAAAGAGCAGCUCAGCACACUGACAAAGGCAUCCAUUUAUUGUCAUCCGCAGGUGUACUGAGCCACAGUGCAGAAACAGGGCAUGGAGUCCAGUACACUGCUGUGAGAUCACAGUUCCACUGGUGAACUGAUGGUAUGUGCUCAGGAAAAUAGCUCUGCUGUUUGCCCUCUGCAACUGCUAUCAGCAAGCUGUUCCCUCUGAUUUCCAGACUAAACUUAUUUGUGGUUGAUUUAUACUCACUUACUUACUAUUGUGCAGAUAAUACUCUUGCUUUAUGCUUGGGCCACAUACAAAAUAACGUGAUGGAAAGAGAUGUUAAACUCUAAAAAGGGAUUUUUAUGUUGGUAGUAAUAAGGUUCAUAGUAGGAAUUAAUAUUUCCUUAUGAGGUCUGGAUCAUUUAAGGAGAAGGGAACAUUUGUUAAACAACCCAAGACUUCAUUUGAUGCACAAGUGCUGCAUCCCUUAUGAAACAGAAGUAUCUCUGUGCUCUAUUAUUUUCUCUACUUAAAAUUAGAUUAUAACAGAUGCCAUCCCCUCACUAUGCAGUUCAAUGCCAGCAAACGUAAGUCUCUCAUCACUUAGCUAAGCCUGAUGUUCUCACUUUCUAGACUCACCAUUAAAAUUCUCAUACUUUGCAGCAGUUACAUUAAACCUGUUCCCAGUUAUGGAUUAGGCUGCAAAUGCAGGAUUUCCCGUGGUUAAGGUGGUCUUGUCUGUUCUAAUAGCAGAACUGAAUUACAAAAUUCAAAUCCUG